rnacentral:rRNA from 1 species
CCUACGGGCGGCAGCAGUAGGGAAUAUUGCUCAAUGGGGGAAACCCUGAAGCAGCAACGCCGCGUGGGGGAUGAAGGUUUUCGGAUUGUAAACUCCUUUUGUUAGAGAAGAUAAUGACGGUAUCUAACGAAUAAGCACUGGCUAACUCCGUGCCAGCAGCCGCGGUAUUACGGAGGGUGCAAGCGUUAGUCGGAAUUACUGGGCGUAAAGUGCGCGGAGGCGGGAUAGUAAGUCAGAUGUGAAAUCCUAUGGCUUAACCAUAGAACUGCAUUUGAAACUGUUAUUCUAGAGUGUGGGAGAGGUAGGUGGAAUUCUUGGUGUAGGGGUGAAAUCCGUAGAGAUCAAGAGGAAUACUCAUUGCGAAGGCGACCUGCUAGAACAUAACUGACGCUGAUGCGCGAAAGCGUGGGGAGCAAACAGGAUUAGAUACCCUUGUAGUC